CAGUAGCCACGGGAAUACGUAGGGUGCAAGCGUUAAUCGGAAUUACUGGGCGUAAAGCGCGCGUAGGUGGUUUGUUAAGUUGGAUGUGAAAUCCCCGGGCUCAACCUGGGAACUGCAUCCAAAACUGGCAAGCUAGAGUAUGGUAGAGGGUGGUGGAAUUUCCUGUGUAGCGGUGAAAUGCGUAGAUAUAGGAAGGAACACCAGUGGCGAAGGCGACCACCUGGACUGAUACUGACACUGAGGUGCGAAAGCGUGGGGAGCAAACAGGAUUAGAUACCCGAGUAGUCCCUGUCUCUUAUAC
rnacentral:rRNA from 1 species